GUGGUCCUGGGAUGAU
rnacentral:rRNA from 1 species